CCGGUAGCUACGUUCGGAUGGGAUAACCGCUGAAAGCAUCUAAGCGGGAAGCCCACCUCAAGAUUAGAUUUCCCUAAAGAGCCGUUCAAGACUAGGACGUUGAUAGGUUGGGUGUGUAAGCACGGUAACGUGUUGAGCUAACCAAUACUAAUUGCUCGUGAGGCUUGACCAUAUAACGCCAAAAGCGUUG
rnacentral:rRNA from 1 species